CGGGUGGUAAUGCCGGAUGCUCCAGUUGACCGCAUGGUCCUCUGGGAAAGCUUUUGCGGUAUGGGAUGGGGUCGCGUCCUAUCAGCUUGAUGGCGGGGUAACGGCCCACCAUGGCUUCGACGGGUAGCCGGCCUGAGAGGGCGACCGGCCACAUUGGGACUGAGAUACGGCCCAGACUCCUACGGGAGGCAGCAGUGGGGAAUAUUGCACAAUGGGCGCAAGCCUGAUGCAGCGACGCCGCGUGCGGGAUGACGGCCUUCGGGUUGUAAACCGCUUUUGACUGGGAGCAAGCCCUUCGGGGUGAGUGUACCUUUCGAAUAAGCACCGGCUAACUACGUGCCAGCAGCCGCGGUAAUACGUAGGGUGCAAGCGUUAUCCGGAAUUAUUGGGCGUAAAGGGCUCGUAGGCGGUUCGUCGCGUCCGGUGUGAAAGUCCAUCGCUUAACGGUGGAUCCGCGCCGGGUACGGGCGGGCUUGAGUGCGGUAGGGGAGACUGGAAUUCCCGGUGUAACGGUGGAAUGUGUAGAUAUCG
rnacentral:rRNA from 1 species